UGAAUUCGUAGUCAUAUGCUUGUCUCAAAGAUUAAGCCAUGCAUGUCUAAGUAUAAGCAAUCUAUACUGUGAAACUGCGAAUGGCUCAUUAUAUCAGUCAUAAUUUAUUUGAUAGUACCUCACUACAUGGAUAACCGUGGUAAUUCUAGAGCUAAUACAUGCUAAAAACCCCGACUUCGGAAGGGGUGUAUUUAUUAGAUAAAAAACCAGCGCCCUUCGGGGCUUCUUGGUGAUUCAUGAUAACUUAACGAAUCGCAUGGCCUUGUGCCGGCGAUGGUUCAUUCAAAUUUCUGCCCUAUCAACUUUCGAUGGUAGGAUAGUGGCCUACCAUGGUUUCAACGGGUAACGGGGAAUUAGGGUUCGACACCGGANAGGGAGCCUGANAAACGGNUACCACAUCCAAGGAAGGCAGCAGGCGCGCAAAUUACCCAAUCCCGACACGGGGAGGUAGUGACAAUAAAUACUGAUAUUGGGGUCUUUAGGCUCUAAUAAUUGGAAUGAGUACAAUUUAAAUCCCUUAACGAGGAACAAUUGGAGGGCAAGUCUGGUGCCAGCAGCCGCGGUAAUUCCAGCUCCAAUAGCGUAUAUUAAAGUUGUUGCAGUUAAAAAGCUCGUAGUUGAACCUUGGGCCUGGCUGGCCGGUCCGCCUCACCGCGUGCACUGGUCCGGCCGGGCCUUUCCUCCUGGGGAGCCGCAUGCCCUUCACUGGGUGUGUCGGGGAGCCAGGACUUUUACUUUGAAAAAAUUAGAGUGUUCAAAGCAGGCCUAUGCUCGAAUACAUUAGCAUGGAAUAAUAGAAUAGGACGUGUGGUUCUAUUUUGUUGGUUUCUAGGACCGCCGUAAUGAUUAAUAGGGAUAGUCGGGGGCAUCAGUAUUCAAUUGUCAGAGGUGAAAUUCUUGGAUUUAUUGAAGACUAACUACUGCGAAAGCAUUUGCCAAGGAUGUUUUCAUUAAUCAGUGAACGAAAGUUAGGGGAUCGAAGACGAUCAGAUACCGUCGUAGUCUUAACCAUAAACUAUGCCGACUAGGGAUCGGGCGAUGUUAUCUUUUUGACUCGCUCGGCACCUU
rnacentral:rRNA from 1 species